AGGAGUUAUUGGUACUCAAAGUUAAGGUGUCAAUUUCAUAUCUACUAUCACUUUUUGGGGCAUAACAUAUGUUUAUGGAUAGCAACAAAAGAUCGGCAACUAGAAUUGGAAAGAAUAUUUUUUUGACUACACUUUUUAUAUAUUGUUUGAUGAAUUUGGAGUUUGAAUGAAGAAGUUAUAAAGGAUUGAAGUCAGCACAUCUAAAUCAAAGGCAGUAAGUAAGUGAUUUUAUUCAUAGUAAUGGUUGGAACCAUAUCUUGAGUUUUUGGACGAAUUUUUGGCUCAAAUCUUUUAAAGAAGGUUGAUUAUUGUGUUAAAAAGCUAUAUAUAUAAAUUUUGUGGUAUUUAAGUGUUUAUUUUAUGAGAUAUGAAGAAAUUUACAUGUAGAUGUAUAAAAACUAGGAUUUGAAGCUACUAUUAGGAUUUUGGUGAUAUCUUAAGAUCCACAACAAAUUUAAAGUUGAAAUUUUUUGUAAUAGUUGUUAGAAGUACAUUAGUAUUUCAUGUAAGAAUUUGAGUAUGUUUGGAUGGUUCGAUUGGAAGAUAUGAAUUUUUGAAGUUCGAGAGUAAUACCCUAUAAGAAUAUUUAAGAAUUUAGAGUUUUUUUUAUCAUAUUUUGAGUAU
rnacentral:lncRNA from 1 species